rnacentral:rRNA from 1 species
AUUGAACGCUGGCGGCAGGCCUAACACAUGCAAGUCGAACGAGUGGCGGACGGGUGAGUAAUGUCUGGGAAACUUCCUGAUGGUGGGGGAUAACUACUGGAACCGGUAGCUAAUACCGCAUCCCAUCGGAUGUGCCCAGAUGGGAUUAGCUAGUAGGUGGGGUAACGGCUCACCUAGGCGACGAGCCCUAGCUGGUCUGAGAGGAUGACCGGCGACACUGGAACUGAGACACGGUCCAGAGGCCUACGGGAGGCAGCAGUGGGGAAUAUGGCACAAUGGGCGAAAGCAUGAUGCAGCCAUGCCGCGUGUAUGAAGGAGGCGUUCGGGUUGUAAAGAACUUUCAGCGGGGAGGCGUUACCGGCAGAAGAAGCACCGGCUAACUCCGUGCCAGCAGCCGCGGUAAUAC